GUAUUGAAGGUGAUGCCUGCCCGGUGACUGAGUUUAACGGCCGCGGUAUCCUAACCGUGCGAAGGUAGCACAAUCAAUUGUCCCGUAAAUCGGGACGAGUAUGAAUGGCUAAACGAGGUUCUAACUGUCUCUUACAGGCAAUCGGUGAAAUUGAUCUCCCUGUACAAAAGCAGGGAUAAACCCAUAAGACGAGAAGACCCUGUGGAACUUUAAAAUCAGCAGCCACCCCAAACUUACAUACAAACCUAACUCAGGCUCACUUAUCCUACGGGUAAUUGGCUCGCAUUUUUUCGGUUGGGGCGACCUUGGAGCAAAACAAAACCUCCAAAUCUUGGACCACAAAUCUAGACUAAGAGCAACCUCUCAAAGUGCUAAAAGCAACCAGACCCAAUAUAAUUGAUCGAUGGACCAAGCUACCCCAGGGAUAACAGCGCGAUCUCCUCCAAGAGUCCAUAUCGACGGGGAGGUUUACGACCUCGAUGUUGGAUCAGGACAUCCUAGUGGUGCAGCAGCUACUAAGGGUUCGU
rnacentral:rRNA from 1 species